rnacentral:rRNA from 1 species
AGGAUGAACGCUGGCGGCGUGCCUAAUACAUGCAAGUCGAGCGAACGGACGAGAAGCUUGCUUCUCUGAUGUUAGCGGCGGACGGGUGAGUAACACGUGGAUAACCUACCUAUAAGACUGGGAUAACUUCGGGAAACCGGAGCUAAUACCGGAUAAUAUUUUGAACCGCAUGGUUCAAAAGUGAAAGACGGUCUUGCUGUCACUUAUAGAUGGAUCCGCGCUGCAUUAGCUAGUUGGUAAGGUAACGGCUUACCAAGGCAACGAUGCAUAGCCGACCUGAGAGGGUGAUCGGCCACACUGGAACUGAGACACGGUCCAGACUCCUACGGGAGGCAGCAGUAGGGAAUCUUCCGCAAUGGGCGAAAGCCUGACGGAGCAACGCCGCGUGAGUGAUGAAGGUCUUCGGAUCGUAAAACUCUGUUAUUAGGGAAGAACAUAUGUGUAAGUAACUGUGCACAUCUUGACGGUACCUAAUCAGAAAGCCACGGCUAACUACGUGCCAGCAGCCGCGGUAAUACGUAGGUGGCAAGCGUUAUCCGGAAUUAUUGGGCGUAAAGCGCGCGUAGGCGGUUUUUUAAGUCUGAUGUGAAAGC